rnacentral:misc_RNA from 1 species
ACUCGACGGGUGUGAACUGCUGACAUUACAUCGUCAAGAUUUCUCCUCAAGAUUGCAUAAAUGACAUCACCACAUGCAUUAAAUGUUAUUGCUGUUUGGUCCAGUGAAGGUACACUUCGAAGGAGCCUAAAUUUCCGGAGAUCCCAAACCUCAGAGUUUAUAAUCACCUCAUUCCCAGCAGGAUGAAAUCCCCCACCCCCAUAAUCCGUGAAUUGAUCAAAGCGGUGAACAGGACCAGACAGCCGCCUAUCCCACAAGACCCCAUUCCAAAGCAACAUUGU